UACGUAUGGGGCAAGCGUUAUCCGGAAUUAUUGGGCGUAAAGAGUGCGUAGGUGGUUACCUAAGCGCAAGGUUUAAUCUUGAGGCUCAACCUCAUUCUGCCUUGCGAACUGGGCUACUUGAGUGCAGGAGGGGAAAGCGGAAUUCCUAGUGUAGCGGUGAAAUGCGUAAAUAUUAGGAAGAACACCGGUGGCGAAGGCGGCUUUCUGGACUGUAACUGACACUGAGGCACGAAAGCGUGGGGAGCAAACAGGAUUAGAUACCCCCGUAGUCCCUGAGCGGG
rnacentral:rRNA from 1 species